ACGGGAGGCAGCAGUGGGGAAUAUUGGACAAUGGGGGAAACCCUGAUCCAGCGACGCCGCGUGAGUGAUGAAGUAUUUCGGUAUGUAAAGCUCUAUCAGCAGGGAAGAUAAUGACGGUACCUGACUAAGAAGCCCCGGCUAACUACGUGCCAGCAGCCGCGGUAAUAUGUAGGGGGCAAGCGUUAUCCGGAUUUACUGGGUGUAAAGGGAGCGUAGGCGGCACGGCAAGUCUGAUGUGAAAUCCCGGGGCUCAACCCCGGGACUGCAUUGGAAACUGUCGGGCUAGAGUGCAGGAGAGGUAAGCGGAAUUCCUAGUGUAGCGGUGAAAUGCGUAGAUAUUAGGAGGAACACCGGUGGCGAAGGCGGCUUACUGGACUGUAACUGACGUUGAGGCUCGAAAGCGUGGGGAGCAAACAGGAUUAGAUACCCUGGUA
rnacentral:rRNA from 1 species